GACAUUAAAUCCACAAAGACCUCAGAAUUUACAUUUACUGCCAGUCCAAUUAGAGCGGCUGCUCUCACACACAAGGGGGCGGGGCUUUACACAGUUUUAUUUUUUUAUUUGGUUUCUUCACACCAGCAGCAACAUGAGAGACAGACAGGUUAGUUACCCGUCUGCAGGUAGUUAGUUACCUGUCUGCAGGUGGUUAGUUACCUGUCUGCAGGCAGUUGGUUACCUGUCUGCAGGUAGUUGGUUACCUGUCUGCAGGUAGUUGGUUACCUGUAUACAGGUAGUUGGUUACCUGUCUGCAGGCGGUUGGUUACCUGUCUGCAGGUAGUUGGUUACCUGUCUGCAGGUAGUUGGUUACCUGUAUACAGGUAGUUGGUUACCUGUCUGCAGGCGGUUGGUUACCUGUCUGCAGGUAGUUGGUUACCUGUC